AUUGAACGCUGGCGGCAGGCCUAACACAUGCAAGUCGAGCGGAUGAAGGGAGCUUGCUCCUGGAUUCAGCGGCGGACGGGUGAGUAAUGCCUAGGAAUCUGCCUGGUAGUGGGGGAUAACGUCCGGAAACGGGCGCUAAUACCGCAUACGUCCUGAGGGAGAAAGUGGGGGAUCUUCGGACCUCACGCUAUCAGAUGAGCCUAGGUCGGAUUAGCUAGUUGGUGGGGUAAAGGCCUACCAAGGCGACGAUCCGUAACUGGUCUGAGAGGAUGAUCAGUCACACUGGAGCAGAGACGCGUGCCAGACUCCUACGGGAGGCAGCAGUGGGGAAUGUUGGACAAUGGGCGAAAGCUUGAUCCAGCAAUGCCGGGUGUGUGAAGAAGAUCUUCUGAUUGUAAAGCACUUUAAGUUGGGAAGAAGGACAGUAAGUUGAUACCUUGCUGUAUUGACGUUACCGGCAGAAUAAGCACCGGCUAACUUCGUG
rnacentral:rRNA from 1 species